GGGUCUUAACCGGCACCCAGCGAGGGGUCCCGGAGCUUAGGACACGCCUCCCGGAAUCGCGGAAGUGCGGCCCGAGGGGGCGGAGCGAGGACCCACCCUCCAACUGACAGCCGGGAACUUUCCCGCCCUGACGGCGCCGCAAAACUGGAAUCCUCGUCCCCACCGUGGAGUUCUUUACCUUUUACGGCAUCUGCGGGUGCGACUCUUCAACUUGCUGUAAAGUGAAACUGCUUCCCGGGCGUGUAGGAGUUGGAGAAUGAAUGGAUUUGUCCUGUGUACCUAGUAGCCGACUGACUUCUGAAUGCGGUUUUCACAGGAUGAUGGUCCAAGGGAAAAAAUGUCCAGUUCAGCCUGCAACUCAACAACUGUACGAAAGCUUUUUUCCAAGAAAUAAUUGUAUUUCUAGAUGGCAUCAGUGGAAAUUUACACAUACUUCCCCUUUUAUCAACAGAACAUUAAGCUUGUGAAGAAGAUACCUGCUUUUCCCUCUGCCCUGAUUGUAAGUUUCCUAAGGCCUUCCAAGCCAUGCGGAAAUGUGUCAAUUAAAUAUCCUUUAUAAAUUACCCAGUCUUGGGUAGUGUCUUUAUAGCAGUGUGAAAAAGGACUAACACACACACACACACACACACACAUACACACAGAGCACUAUAGCUAAAUGCUUACAGUAUAAUGUGGUCUAUGAUUCUUAUUAAAGUUAUUAUUUUAUUUUUUUGAUUGAAUUUUUAGUUAAAUAAAAAUUACUUUAUUGUUUAUUUUUAAUUAAAUAGGCAUUACUUUAAUUGAUAUUUGGUUUGGAUUGUAUCAUAAGAUGUGAAGGGAUUGAGAAUGAGGUACAAUGGCAUAACUUUGCCUACUUUUUGUUAUUUCUCAUAUAUUAUGUAUAACAUAUAAUAUUAUUCUCCACUAUGUGUUUGUACUAGUUUAGCCUUAAUCAGUUCAGUCUUCAUUUGAUCUAUAAUUGAACAACCCAAGCCAUAGGAACAUACUAUAAAUUUUUCUAGAAAUUUUAGAGUUGGAAAGGGUGUUACUGAUCAUCUUUUUUUUUUUUUUUUUUUAAAUUUUACACUGUGUUUUUGUGGAAUCUUAGGCAGUUCUUUUAGGGUGUCUAUAAGUUGCCUGGGAAGUGGAUGAGUUUCAGACUGGCAAUACUCUGCCUUCCUCUGCUUUAACUGGAGAAACCCUGCUUAUUGUGUGCAAAAUUUCAUAUGAUGAGAACUUCAUGUUGAUAUAAAGUUGGAAAUACUCUGAUUUUGUUCAAUAUACUCAAUUUCAUGGGAGCACACUGAGGGCCAGGGUUGUAAAAGGAUUUUCACAAGUUCCAAAUAAAAGAAACAGGACUUUCCCUUAGACAUCUGGUGUAAGCAACUCACGAAUUCCAUUACACACAAAGAUAAGCUGACGUGUAAAUAAAUUUGCAUGAC
rnacentral:lncRNA from 1 species